CUAAGCGUACACGGUGGAUGCCCUGGCAGUCAGAGGCGAUGAAGGGCGUGCUAAUCUGCGAUAAGCGCCGGUAAGGUGAUAUGAACCGUUAUAACCGGCGAUACCCGAAUGGGGAAACCCAGUGUGAUUCGUCACACUAUCAUUAACUGAAUCCAUAGGUUAAUGAGGCGAACCGGGGGAACUGAAACAUCUAAGUACCCCGAGGAAAAGAAAUCAACCGAGAUUCCCCCA
rnacentral:rRNA from 11 species